rnacentral:lncRNA from 1 species
ACCCCCUUUGAGCCUUAUUUUUCCAUAUUCUUUGAUUUAGCUAUGGGUGGGAGCUUGGAAAUUGUUAAUAUGGAAUAGUUGGUUUGUGGAGAUGAAUGAUCAUGAGUUAUGUUUUGUGGUUUCAAAUUGAAAAUCCUAGUACCCUACAAGUUGUUGAAAAAAAAAAAAAGAAGAGAAAAAAAAAUAGGAAAAGAAAAGAGAGAAAAGAAUUGAAAAAAUGGGUACAUAGGAUGCUUUAGAAAGUCAUAAUAUCAUGUGAAAUAAUUGUUGUGUUGUGAUGGUUUCUCGUAUUGAAAAAUCUGGUUUUAUGAGAGGUGGAUGAUUGUUGAGUUAGAAUGUUAUAAGGUUGGUGAUUGUGCUACAUUGAGAACUAUCUUUUAGUCACUAAGCCAAAUACACCCCACCUUACCAAAGAGCCUACAUUACAACCCUUAAUAAAGACCUUUUUGAUCUUGGUUAUAAGAGCACACAUUUAGUGGUGGAGAGGUGAGACGAUUGACAAGCUUAUGGAUGAGUACUUGUUUAGCUUGAACUGAGCGUAUACACGUCCUUGUUAAUUGAUACACUUGAGAGUUGAGAGUUCUUAUUUUCUUUAUCUUUCUGGUGAGGAUUGCAAUUCAUUGAGACCAUAAUUUGAGUUUGUCAUGAGUGUAAUGUCUUGAUGGGAGAUACAAAUGCAUGUUGGUAUUUUUAUUGACAAAUCUGAAUCCACAAUGUUAUCCACUUUUCUCUGCGCUCUUGUUGAUUCAUUCUUGGUUCAUCUUUGUUUAGUCCGAGGACGGACAAUAGUUCAAGUUUGGGGGGUUGAUAAACAUGCAUUUUUACCUCUUGGUGUGUCAUAUUUGAUGUUUAGUUAUGAGGAUUUUGUGUGUUUGUUGGUUUAUUUGAGCUUAUAUUAGUUUAUGGUCAAGAACUUGUUACUUGCUCGUUGUUUGAACGAAUUUUCAGAAAUAAUGAAGCAGAAUUUGGAAGAAUU